CGGUUUGGGCUGGGUUUCUUUAUUCUGUCCAGCGCUACUACUUAAGAUCUGUUGGAUCGAUUCCCCAACCUUGAAACACACGAAAUGGCAUUUCCAACGCCUCAGGAAGGUCAACCGACCAUUGGGCUGUGGGAAAUCUGGGCUCUCAUUCAUGGCCAUUAAAUCCAAACUCAUUAUAGGAAUACAACAGAAAAGGAAGGCCAUUAAAAAUUCGCCUCUCUCCCUCUAUCUUAACGUCACUCUCUAUUUCUCUUACUUAACAUUGCUAUUAUGCAGAAUGAAUUUCCGACAAUCCCAUAGUUCCAACACCACAUACUAAGUCUAAAAUAAACUUUGCUCAGAGAUCUUUAACCGAGUUUAAGCAUGAGAAACAACCAAAUCAAAUAUCAAAUUUUAACAAAGCGAGGCUAUCACAAGAUCAAUCACAGGUUUGAAACAUCAUGUUUACCAAUCUAUCUUGAAGUGUAUGAACAAGGAGUAAAAAACGAAUCUUUACCGGAAAACGAAAGUUUCCGGUGUGCAUGGAGAACGAGGUCUGACCUUGGGUAGGCGUUUUCUCCUUCUUUUCCUUGGGAAUUUCAACAGAGGUCCGCUUAUGCCUCUUUUCAGUGAAUGGAGUCGUUUUAUAGAGAGGUAGUACGAGGUUUGAGAUGGUCUCCUCACCAUGAGCUGGAAAGUCGUAACAAAUCAUUCCUUUAGUGAAAGGUGGAGCUAUUGUGCUGGUUUUCAUUGAAUUCUUACCACUGUAACUCUUGGUUUUGCUAUGCUCACUUGUUCAAGGUACACCUACUUGCAUCAGACCAUUGGAUUGUGUAACUCUGAGCUUGCAUUGGUCCUUGGAUAUGGCAUGUUUAUCUCCAUGGUAUGACUCACUUGGCUUUCAUCAUGAUGUAGCUGUUGCGGGACCGCGGGACGACCCGUUCUCAUGAUGGACCCUUGGAUUUUACCAUUGGUAUCGUGCUCCUGUGCUGGCUUACUUCUCCUUGAACACCUAACUAUGAAUACCAGUGCAGGACGUUGGUCACAAGAUUCCAUUGUCGGGAUGCCGUUUGAUUAGUUGCCGCCAGAUUGAUUUGCAGCUGGAGGGUGUUUCUGGUGCAGCCUUUGUCAAAGUACUGCAAUAAGUCCCUUUGAAUAGCUCAUGACAGUUAUGCUUUGUGGAGGAAUGUAAAUUACUGAAGUGGAACUUAGGAUGUAGCUUUAGACUUGGGUUUUAAAUGCAUUUGAGGAUAGUGGCUUGGAGUCACACGGUGAAUGUAUUUGGUUUAACACACUGCAAUGAGCUGUUUCACAGAAUAUGACGUGUUGAGGCAUGCUAAAGAUAAAGGUUUGUCCAUGAUGCUGCAGACUUCUGAACUCUUAAUGUGUGUAUUGUGCUUUGUGGACUAUGACGCAGACAUGUACCAACAUUAGGCUUUGCGCUUGUAGUUCGCGAGCUUCUUCAUUCCAUGUUUGAACUUCAGGUUCUUUUUCGUGCGUGGUUCUGAUGAAAACCAAGUGGUUCUGCAGAUUCCUCUUGCAUUAUUGUCAGUUACUUGCGAUUCAGGACUUGUUAGCGAUGUCGCAGACCUCACCUUUUGAUGUACAUUUGCUAUGUUCAGAAUAAUCCUCACCCCACUGCAUUUUGUUUGUAAUAUAUAGUGUAUUAGGGUAGGUCAUUCAUCUGUGUUCAACCAUGUAUUUACAUCACAAUUUGAGACGUAUAUGGAUCGGCCCUAAUUGGGAUAAAUGAUUGUAUGCCACACUAUUGAUUUGUAAAUGUGAUUGUAAUUUUAGCACGUGAA